rnacentral:tRNA from 1 species
GCCGUCGUAGCUCAGAGGGAGAGCACCCGACUGUCGAUCGGGGGGCCGCGGGUUCGAGUCCCGUCGGUGGCGC